GCCUGGUUGACUCACUUGGUAGAGCAUGUGACUCUUGAUCACAGGAUUGUGAGUUCAAGCCCCAUGCCGGGCA
rnacentral:tRNA from 1 species